CGUGUCCCAUGUCAUGCUGCUGUUUUAUUUGUCUGGGAAUGCCUAAGAAUGGUGGUGUUAAUUGGAGGAAUAUGCUCGAACUAAGAAAUUCUAUCUGCGAAUCAGCAUCUCCGCUAUAUGAGACUGCUGCCCAAAACGUCCCUAUGGCAGGAAGUUCUCAGCAGCAUCAGAUGUCUGUUGUGCCACUGUAUAGUAAGCACUAGCUGUGCAGUGGUCAAGUACUGAAAUGAAAAUGCUGCCUGCGGCAAUGUGAACACUAACUGUUGAACCCCUAAAUGACAUUUUAGCUGGAAAGUAUGUAAUAUAUAAUUUAUUUGCAUUUAUCAUUGUGCAGAAGACAAACAGCGCAGAAAGAGAAAUUUAGCUUUAAUAUACUGUCAACAAUAAAGUUAUUCAUUAGAAUCAUACCACAA